rnacentral:misc_RNA from 1 species
AAGUCGUAACAAGGUAACCGUAGGUGAACCUGCGGUUGGAUCAUUAAUAAAAAAAAAUAUUGAUUUCCUUUCUCCCUUUAAAAAAAGGAGAGGGGACUUCUCUAAACACCCUUUUUUGUGAACCGUUGAUUGUCUCUUGGUGUGGGAACGGGUGGUUUUUUUCCACCUUAAGAAAAAGUUUAAAAAAUAUCUAGGGAUCAGUGUCCUGAUCCCAAAGAGUUGCUUUUUUUGCCCGCCAGCUUUUAUAAAUAUAAUACACGUUUUUUUAAGUCUAAGAAAAAGUUUUUUUAAAAUUUUUAUUACAAAAAAAUUGAAAUUAUAAACAACUUUUAACAAUGGAUCUCUAGGCUCUCA